UACGUAGGGGGCUAGCGUUGUCCGGAAUCAUUGGGCGUAAAGCGCGUGUAGGCGGUCCGGUAAGUCCGCUGUGAAAGUCGGGGGCUCAACCCUCGAAAGCCGGUGGAAACUGUCGGGCUAGAGUCCGGAAGAGGCGAGUGGAAUUCCCGGUGUAGCGGUGAAAUGCGCAGAUAUCGGGAGGAACACCAAUGGCGAAGGCAGCUCGCUGGGACGGUACUGACGCUGAGACGCGAAAGCGUGGGGAGCAAACAGGG
rnacentral:rRNA from 1 species